CUCUGGGUGUUUCAAUUAAAAACCCUUAAGUUGUUGAAUAUCCAUCUGAGCUCAAAAAUAAAUAGAUUUAUUUUUUAAUCUGUUCUUCAACCAUCAGAUUGGAACAAAGUUCAACUUUCCAGAGUUUCUCUGAUCAUUCAUGGAGCUUCUUUAGAAAUCUGGACGCUGACAUUAGCGUUAGCUGCUCAUGUUUAGCAUUCAGAUACUAUUUUAGGUUAGCAUAGCUUUGCUGAUAGGCUAACUCCUUUUAGCUCAAAUUGAACACAACAAAAACUAAAAACGGUUU